rnacentral:lncRNA from 1 species
AAAAACUUUUGAUCCUUAAUGCAGAAUUCUUCUAAAGAACUCUAAUGGCUUGCUUUCCUUCCUUUCUAUUUUCCUUUAGCCUUCUAAAAUCACUUCUAAUCCUUUUGUCCUAAAGAAGACCACCUUGUCUUGGCUUAGGACACACUAGAAGCAAUGCUAGAAAGAAAGAAACUAAUGUAAGAAAGAAAGAAGAGAGGAGUGGGGUGGAAUUGGAAUGAUGAAACCCAUGGAGUGCUAACCUAUUUAUAAUAGGUGUAN